AUUAUCUUACCCGGAAAAAAAGGAACUUUCAUGCUGGUAUGCAGAAAAUUUGACGCUUAAUUGCUUUCUGCAGGUGAAUGGGAUACAACUGAUAAAGUAACAAGUUAACUAGAUAAUGCUCUCAAGUUAUAUAAGCUGAAUGUGUAAAGAAUUUUUACUCGAUAAUUGUAUCUUGUUGAUUGCUGCUACUUUUUAUGUUGCCAUUCCACCUAUGAUCUGUAAUUAGCCUUUCAUUGUAUUGUUGGUGAAUAGAACUUGUGGGCAAAGUCAGUCCUUGAGGUUCGGAGUUGUUAAGGCAUCAUUAUAUCUAUAAAUAUACAAGGGUUUAGAGAAAUUGCGCUCUCUCUCUCUCUCUCUCACACACACACACAUACACACACACAUCAUCAAAUUUCCUAUUUUCUAACUCAUUUCUCAAAGAGUUCUUUACCUUAUUAAUGAACAUUUGUAUGUCGUUAGGUAUAAGAUGAGGCCGUUCCAUUGAUAAGGCUCCGGCAGCACUGGGGCCGUACUCUCAAGCCAUCAGCUAAUAAUUUUUGUUUUUGUCUCUGGAUGUCUGGGUCUUAUUCCAGAGACUGGGAAAUUUGUCUCUGAAAGUGUGGAGGAUCAAACAGAGCAGGUUCUCAAGAAUAUGGGGAGAAUGCUUGAA